rnacentral:rRNA from 1 species
AUUGAACGCUGGCGGCAGGCCUAACACAUGCAAGUCGAACGAGUGGCGGACGGGUGAGUAAUGUCUGGGAAACUGCCCGAUGGAGGGGGAUAACUACUGGAAACGGUAGCUAAUACCGCAUACCAUCGGAUGUGCCCAGAUGGGAUUAGCUAGUAGGUGGGGUAAAGGCUCACCUAGGCCACGAUCCCUAGCUGGUCUGAGAGGCUGACCAGACACACUGGAACUGGGACACGUUCCAGACUCCUACGGGAGGCAGCAGUGGGGAAUAUUGCACAAUGGGCGAAAGCCUGAUGCAGCCAUGCCGCGUGUAUGAAGAAGGCCUUCGGGUUGUAAAGUACUUUUAGCGAGGAGGCGGUACCCGCAGAAGAAGCACCGGCUAACUCCGUGCCAGCAGCCGCGGUAAUUG